UGGGGAAUAUUGCACAAUGGGCGAAAGCCUGAUGCAGCAACGCCGCGUGAGUGAUGAAGGUCUUCGGAUUGUAAAGCUCUGUCUUUUGGGACGAUAAUGACGGUACCAAAGGAGGAAGCCACGGCUAACUACGUGCCAGCAGCCGCGGUAAUACGUAGGUGGCGAGCGUUGUCCGGAUUUACUGGGCGUAAAGGGUGCGUAGGCGGAUGUUUAAGUGAGAUGUGAAAUACCCGGGCUUAACUUGGGUGCUGCAUUUCAAACUGGAUAUCUAGAGUGCAGGAGAGGAGAAUGGAAUUCCUAGUGUAGCGGUGAAAUGCGUAGAGAUUAGGAAGAACACCAGUGGCGAAGGCGAUUCUCUGGACUGUAACUGACGCUGAGGCACGAAAGCGUGGGUAGCAAACAGGAUUAGAUACCCUGGUAGUCCACGCCGUAAACGAUGAGUACUAGGUGUAGGAGGUAUCGACCCCUUCUGUGCCGCAGUAAACACAUUAAGUACUCCGCCUGGGAAGUACGAUCACAAGAUUAAAAACUCU
rnacentral:rRNA from 1 species